GUGACAAAGUUAAACGGCCGCGGUACCCUAACCGUGCGAAGGUAGCGCAAUCACUUGUUCUUUAAAUGAGGACUAGUAUGAAUGGCAUCACGAGGGUUUCACUGUCUCCCCCUUUUAAUCAAUGAAACUGAUCUUCCCGUGAAGAAGCGGGAAUAAACAUAUAAGACGAGAAGACCCCAUGGAGCUUUAAACCCAGUAUCAACUACACUUACUACACCACACAAGAUUAGUAGACGUGACACCUGGUUUUCGGUUGGGGUGACCACGGAGCAAAACAAAACCUCCAUGAUGAAAGGAAUCUAUUCCUAAUCUAAGAGCCACAGCUCAAAGAAUCAACAAACUGACAUUAAUUGACCCA
rnacentral:rRNA from 1 species